CUUGCUUUUGUAAUUCUAGUGGCGGACGGGUGAGUAACGCGUGAGCAACCUGCCCUUCAGUGGGGGAUAACACAGGGAAACCUGUGCUAAUACCGCAUAACACACAUUGAUGGCAUCAUGAAUAUGUCAAAGAUUUAUCGCUGAAGGAUGGGCUCGCGUCCAAUUAGGUAGUUGGUGAGGUAACGGCCCACCAAGCCGACGAUUGGUAGCCGGGCUGAGAGGCUCAACGGCCACAUUGGGACUGAGACACGGCCCAGACUCC
rnacentral:rRNA from 1 species